UCCACGCCCUAAACGAUGGAUGUUAGUCGUUGCGGCGCACGUCGUCGCAGUGAUGCAGCUAACGCAUUAAACAUCCCGCCUGGGGAGUACGGUCGCAAGAUUAAAACUCAAAGGAAUAGACGGGGACCCGCACAAGUGGUGGAGCAUGUGGUUUAAUUCGAAAAUACGCGAAGAACCUUACCCGGCCUUGACAUCCCGCGAACCCUGCAGAGAUGCGGGGGUGCUACUUCGGU
rnacentral:rRNA from 1 species